GGCAAAGAAACCUAAGAAAUGGAGUCUGCAGACUUCUAGUUCCAAGAGAAUAUAAAAAGAAGUGUGUAGAGCUAAGAAAUAACAGAUAAGUCACAAGCACUGCCCCCUUGCUACCUGAGGGAAAUCACUCCAGGUUCAUCAAGUGAAGCUUGGCCUCCCCUACCUUUUUCUGCUCUUUUACUAUAAAAUAGGACCUUCAUAAGUUUGAGGAGUUUCUCCAGGAUUUGACCUUACAAUAUGGGGGGUCAGCUACUUCUCUUUUCUUGAUCAACCCUGAAACCAAAAGAAUAAUUAAUUCGGUUAAAAGCUGCAGAUUUCAUUUCUUUCACCACAUCCAUGCCAACAUCUAUUGUUUUUGGACUUUCUAAUAAUGGCCAUUCUGGCUGGGAUAAGGUGGUAUCUCAUUAUGGUUUUAAUUUGCAUUUACCUGAUGAUUAGUGAUGUUGAUUAUUUUUUCAUAUGUUUGUUGGCUAUUUAUAUAUCUUAUUUUGAGAAGUGUCUAUUCAUGUCAUU
rnacentral:lncRNA from 1 species